rnacentral:rRNA from 1 species
CAGUAGCCGCGGGAAUACGUAGGGUGCGAGCGUUAAUCGGAAUUACUGGGCGUAAAGCGUGCGCAGGCGGUUAUAUAAGACAGAUGUGAAAUCCCCGGGCUCAACCUGGGACCUGCAUUUGUGACUGUAUAGCUAGAGUACGGUAGAGGGGGAUGGAAUUCCGCGUGUAGCAGUGAAAUGCGUAGAUAUGCGGAGGAACACCGAUGGCGAAGGCAAUCCCCUGGACCUGUACUGACGCUCAUGCACGAAAGCGUGGGGAGCAAACAGGAUUAGAUACCCCCGUAGUCCCUGUCUCUUAUAC